CAAAGUAUGGCUGCUUAGCCUGGGGUUGACCUCAAACUCACACCACUAUGCCUGGCUAUGAUUUUUUUUCUUAAGUAGAAUCAACUUCAGCACGUUCAUUGUAAAGGCGUCUGCUUCCCGAGUGGUCCGACUGCAGGCCUGUGUUUGUGUGAUGCUGUGACAGAACCCAAGGCGCUAUGCGAGCUAGACAGGAGUCUAGCAUGGCUGUUCUCUGAGAAGCUCCACCCAGCAGCUGACUCAAGUGGAUGCAGAGACCCACAGCCAAACAGUGGAUGCAACUUGGGAACUCUUAUGGAAGAAUAGAAGGAAGGAUUGUUUAUGGCCCUGAAGGGGAUAGGAACUCCAUAGGAAGACCAACAGAGUCAACUAACCUGGGGCUCUCAGAGACUGAACCACCAACCAAAGAGCAAACACAGGUUGGACCUAUCCCACCUCUACAUGUGUAGCAGAUGUGCAGCUUGGUCUUCAUGUGGGUCCCAAACAACUGCAGCAGGGGCUGUCCCAAAAGCUGUUGCCUGUCCAUGGGAUAUGUUCUUCUAACUGGGCUACCUUGUCUGGCCUCCAUGGGAGAGGAUGCACCUAGCCCAGAAGAGACUUGAUUGUCAGAGUGCAGGGUGCUACCCAGGAGGGUCCCUACCUGGUCAGAGGAGAAGAAGAGGGGAUGGGGGAAAGAUGGCAGGUGACUGGGUGGGGACAGUGAGUGGGAUGCAAAGUGAAUAAAGAAAUAACGAUAAAUAAAUUUUAAAAAGA